GAUGAACGCUGGCGGCGUGCCUAAUACAUGCAAGUCGAGCGAAUGGAUUAAGAGCUUGCUCUUAUGAAGUUAGCGGCGGACGGGUGAGUAACACGUGGGUAACCUGCCCAUAAGACUGGGAUAACUCCGGGAAACCGGGGCUAAUACCGGAUAACAUUUUGAACCGCAUGGUUCGAAAUUGAAAGGCGGCUUCGGCUGUCACUUAUGGAUGGACCCGCGUCGCAUUAGCUAGUUGGUGAGGUAACGGCUACCCAAGGCAACGAUGCGUAGCCGACCUGAGAGGGUGAUCGGCCACACUGGGACUGAGACACGGCCCAGACUCCUACGGGAGGCAGCAGUAGGGAAUCUUCCGCAAUGGACGAAAGUCUGACGGAGCAACGCCGCGUGAGUGAUGAAGGCUUUCGGGUCGUAAAACUCUGUUGUUAGGGAAGAACAAGUGCUAGUUGAAUAAGCUGGCACCUUUACGGUACCUAACCAGAAAGCCACGGCUAACUACGUGCCAGCCGCCGCGGUAA
rnacentral:rRNA from 1 species